GACGAACCGUGCAAACGUUAUUCGGAAUCACUGGGCGUAAAGGGUGCGUAGGCGGCCGGGUAAGUCUGAUGUGAAAUCCCGCAGCUCAACUGCGGAACUGCAUCGGAUACUCUCCGGCUAGAGGAAUGGAGGGGAGACUGGAAUUCUCGGUGUAGCAGUGAAAUGCGUAGAUAUCGAGAGGAACACCAGUGGCGAAGGCGAGUCUCUGGACAUUUCCUAACGCUGAGGCACGAAAGCCAGGGGAGCAAACGGG
rnacentral:rRNA from 1 species